rnacentral:lncRNA from 1 species
CGCUGAGACAUUUUUUGAGCUCUACAUAAAAUAUUGGUCGAUAGGCAUCACAAUCUGAACUAAUUUACGUGUUAUGAACCUUUAACCUCCCAACCUCUCGCCAGGACAGUUGAAGAGGCUGCUGUUGAAGAGGCGAUUCAGGUACUUACAGCACGAUAAAUUUGCGUAAAUUUUGCUUCCACUUGGUGGCAGUAGUUCAGAAUGAGUUUUAUCGUUUGUAUUGAGCUUUCUCUUUCUGACUUCUCCGAUAAGCUGAAAUAGUAUAGUUUUCGGGAGGUGCCGCAUGCCGUAGGAAUACACUAAAAGAAGAGAUAAAAGAAAAGGGCUUUAUUUUUUACUACGCUGUCAUUAAUCUUUUUGGUUUCUCGUUUUAGCGUGCAUGACUAAUAAUACUCGCCCUCCACGCUAACAUCAUGACAUGCUUUCCAUUUAGCAGUGUUCUUUCAUAGGAAUAUUUUAGUCAUGAACACGUUCAUAUUUUAGUCAUGAACACGUGUGAAAGAUCGUCAGUAUUAAUAUUACUCAUAUUUUAGACGGACUAUUAUUUAAAAUAAUUAUUAUAACACUUUUUUUUUUUUUAGUUAGAUGUGAUAUAUAUACAAUAAAAAAAUAACUAAAAUUAUAAAAAAAAUGAAUUAAAAAAUAUAUUUACGAUACAAAUAAAAUAUUAUUUAAAAAAAAUUGCUAUUCAAACCCACUCUCUCCAUUCCUUAAGCAAGUUAAUCCUCUUGAAAUAUAUAUAUAUAUAUAGAGUAAAUCUUUCCUACACUGACGGUGUAUACACUAUCAUCGUUAGAUUCAUGACAUGUGUGCAAAAGUUGAAUUUCAAAUUCAAAUUAUGCAUAGUUGUCAAUCAUCCAACGCUGAUAGUGUAUACACUGUCAGUGUAGGAAAGAUUAAUCCAUAUAUAUAUAUAUAUUUUUUUUAAAGUUCACAUUUGUGUUGGUUCAUAUUUGUGAACGGUCUGAAAUCAGACUAACAACAAAGCCUAGCUCGAUCUCAACCUUACUGGACUGCUGAGAUAGGCCGGGCCUGCAGGCCGCCUCUCCCUCCAGGCAACAGCAGGAGAACCCUAAGAACACAUGCAUGAAUACCACUCCUAACAUACAUUUGACGAUCAAAUGAGUGGCCCAAAAAUUUCAAAUUAGAGAAUCACAGCACUCAAAGUAGCAGUAGGAAGCAGGAAGUGAGAGGCCCGAACCGAAAGUAAGGUCCACUGUGAAACGGUGAAACUGAAUGUCGCCGGGGUCAGGACACUUUCUUGUUGUGUACUUGAAGGGCCCGAUUUUGUCGAAGGAAGACAUCCAACGGUGUGGAAUGAAAACUGAAAUGGUUAAAGCUUUUAGGUGGUGGCAGGAUAGGGGAAGGGGGUCCCAUAUUCUCAGCUUUUAACUGUAAAAAACAUAUCAAAUCAAUCAAUCAAGGUGUCAAUCAAAUGGUCCUACUUGCUUUGCUUAUUAUGCCCAUCCUCCCUCCCUCCCUCCAAUACUUUGCUUCAGCCCUCUUUUUUAUCUCCCUUCCCAACGGCGUACGGUGUCCUACUCGCUAGAUUGUAGACAGGUCUCUCUCUCUCUCUUUGUUUCAGAAUUGGUAAUUCCACUUUGACUUUCCCAGUCCAAGAAAAAGCAAAACAACAAUUACAAAUAAACCCAAUAGAAUAGACGCGCAAUCUUCUUUAACAAAUUUAACUUAACGCUGAUUAAGAAUUUACUACUUAGAAUGUUUGACUUGAUGCCUAUUUGAAACAUAUUUUUGCAAUAAUACGUAAUACUUUUUAGAAUGCAAUAAAAAUAAUUAAAAAAUUUUAUGAUAUUAACCCAAAAAAAAAACUUUUAAAACAAUUAUACCUGUUUAGUUUACACCCCGCGCUACCGCCCCAAACCGACGGCGGUUAAUUGCAACGGUCUUGGCUCUUCAUAAUACUGAAAAUACUUAGUGGUCCUUCAUUUUACCAAACAGUGCUGUGAUGGAAACUGCAACGUCAAGGAAAUGGAAAGCAGAAAGGGAAUAAAGAAAUCCAAGCAUGACUGGUCUGGCAAUUUGGUCGGGUUUUUGUCAAAUAAUAAAUAAUAAUAAUGGGGAAGGAUUCUUUUCUCUCAUGAUUUCUAUCGAUAAUAAUAAUAAUAAUGAAUUUCUAUGGAUUAAGUGUUUUUCAACAUGUAAAUUAUACUAUAAUAUUUAAAAUUUUUUACUUUGAGGUGCUUUUGAAAUUUAAAAUUCAUUGAAAUGUUUUUACAGAUUUGUUGAAUCUUUCACUACCAUCAACCAUACGCCAACCCUAUCCCUCCUUCCUCUUCC